AUCACACUUCGCACAUCUUACGUUUUGCCACAAAGUUUUACGAGACCUAUAAAUCAAAUGAAAUCAUCAUUAUAGCCACAUGUACGUAUUCAGAGCCGGAUGUGGCUCGCGAGCCGCAGUUUGCCGACCAUUUGGUACAGGUAUCUUAUUAUUGUAUAUGAUUAGGUCAAUUUUGAAUUUCACUGUUGUUAAAACAUAUCUAUUUGGCAUCUUAUUUCAUUUUUGUUGGAAGAAGAAAAUAAAGAGGAAACACGAUGGAUUCAAAACAGCAUAUCUGGUUAAGGCAUAAUUAAAAAUAUACAGUGAAAUGAUCUUUAGAUAGAAGUAGAACAUCCCUAAUAAAUUUCAUGAAAUAUCUAAUUAUUUC
rnacentral:lncRNA from 1 species